rnacentral:sRNA from 1 species
CAGAAAUGAAUUGUGGUAUGGUCCAGACAGAGUGAAAUACUUGGGACCCUUUUCGGCUCAGACUCCCUCUUAUUUGACUGGAGAAUUCCCAAGGGACUAUGGAUGGGACACUGUUGGAUUGUCUACUGAUCCUGAAGCAUUUGCCAAGAACAGAGCUCUUGAGUGCUUCGCUUUCGUGGUGGUGCGUUUGGCUUGUACGUUUGACCUUCAUCGCGUGGUCUGCUGGGUUUCCAACAACAACAAGGUAAGUCAUUAUGCUUGUUAUUUUUUGAAAAGAACUGCUCAGUUUUGCUCAUUG